UGAACAGCGCUGAGUCACGCACCAACCCGCGAGGAAGCUCCAGCGAUCUCGGAUUCGGCCCCGUCGCGCGCCCAUCACAUUUCUCCCUUGCCCGCCGAGCGUACAGUAUCAUAGCCAUCAGUGGGAACGCGGGCUGAAUACUGAACACUGAGGUUAAUGAGGGAACUUGUCUGAGCGCGGGCCAAACUCAGCCCAUAAAGAACAGCGAGCCACGUACGAAGGCUCUCAGGUCUUUAAGCUGCGGAGAGGGAACUUCAGAUGAAAAGCGUGCGUGCAGCAAUCAUCGUAUCUAUAACAACACACUGCAACGCCGAACGCGGCGCAGGGCAGACUGACUCAUCAGAGCGGCGCACAGAAGGGAGUGCAGAGAAAUCUCCUCGAGCAGCCAGAAGGAUAUGAAGCCAUAAGUCAGCUAUGACAGAUUGUUAUGUGUCUUCCAAACUCUGCCCCUGCUGUUAGUGCUGCGUGUGAAUCCACCAUCUCCCCGAGGCACAUCACUGUGAUGACUGCACCAUAAGCUCCAGUGACCUUUCCUUUACAGUGGCAUCCAAAGAUUAGUCAGCCAAAUAUGCCUCGGCCAGAAUCAAUAAGCCUCCUAAACCAUCAACAGCUUUGAAGAUCAGAGACACCUUACCUCCAUCCCUCUGUCCAGCUCCUAAAUGCCGCAGCUGUCCGGGAGAGUCCGCGAGCUGCGUUUCAUCUGCUGCAAAAAAGGCAAAAGACUGUUUGAUUCCAGCUUGAACGGGCCGUUAAAUACUUUGGUCCACAUCAGUUUGGUCCUGUGAUAAUCCUGAAUAAAGGAAGGUUAAUGGACUAUCUGUCCUGCUGAAUGUGAGGAUUAAAGAUGUACAGGGCCUCUAGAGUGGCCACGCAGCGGAAGAAACCCAGUGCAUUUAUGGUGUGACAAGAUUAAUCUUUGAAAAUGAGUGUGAAGUCCAGAGACCUU